AUGUAUCAACUUCUUUAGUUGGAUGUGGGGGUUUUGCUGGCCCUUUCUAAUGGUCAGCUCCCCUGAAAUACAUUAGCGGAACAAUUUGUUGACUUUUUCAUUAGUGUGAUAAUUAUCUGCGCUAUUGAAUUGUGAAGCAAGUUCAGCUUCUAAUAGUCCAUUGACUUGGACAUUUUUUCCAUUUA
rnacentral:misc_RNA from 1 species